rnacentral:rRNA from 1 species
GACGAACGCUGGCGGCGUGCUUGACACAUGCAAGUCGAACGGUGAAGGGGUCUGCUUUUGUGGUCCCUGGUUGAGUGUCGCACGGGUGAGUAACACGUGAGUAACCUGCCCCUUUCUUCUGGAUAACCGCAUGAAAGUGUGGCUUAUUCGCGCUAUUCUGGUUCUGUCGCAUGCUGGGUCUGGUCAAGAUUGCGCCUUUUGGUGUUUUUGGUGUGGGAUGGGCUCGCGGCCUAUCGGCUUGUUGGUGGGGUGAUGGCCUACCGAGGAGGUGACGGGUAGCCGAGAGGAGAGGGUGGACGAUUAGAAUGGGAAUGAGACACGGACCAGAAUCGGAGGGGAGGGAGGAGUAGGGAAUAUUAAAGAAUGGGGGCAAGCCUGAUGAAGCGACGCCGGGUGAGGGAUGGAGGGCGUCGGGUUGUAAACCUCUUGGGAAAGAAAAGCAGGACUGCUACUUGUGGGUGGGUUGACGGUAGCUGGAUAAGAAGCGCCGGCUAACUACGUG